CCCAAACCCUACAUCGGCUUCCACAGGUUCGUCUUCGUGCUGUUCAAGCAGAGCAGCCGCCAGUCGGUGUGCCCGCCCUCGUCCAGGGACUACUUCAACACCCGCCGCUUUGCCGCCGACAACAAUCUUGGCCUCCCAGUCGCCGCCGUCUACUUCAACGCGCAGCGGGAGACCGCCGCGCGCCGCCGCUGAGCGAUCACCUGCAGCGACCACAUGAAUUCCCAACCCUACGUACUACUCCCAUCUCAUCAUCGCAUGCAUGGCGCAGCAUGCAAGAUAGACCUAUCAAUCUGGCUACGUACUAUGCGGCCUUUGCUGUUUCCUAACAGGCCAUGGUCAAAUAAGAGCUUAUGACUCGUCUUUGGGGCUGAUUUGGUAACAACAUAUUUGGAGGGGAUUCCGGGAGAAACAACCUUUAUAUUCAUUUGAAUAGAAAGAAGUUUUCUCUCCUAUGGAUCUCCUCCAAAUCUCUGGUCACCAAACCAGUCUCUUAGGGAGAGCUAGCUUUCCUUAUCUAUGCUAGUCCGUUCUUCAGUUUUUGAGUUAUUAGUAGCCUCUCUGUGUGCAUGAGCACUCAUGGAUGUAAUAAGAUGUAACUCGUGGGUACGUGUGCCACUAGUGUGAUCGUGUUCAACUCGAUCAGCUAUUCAACUCCUACACAUGCAG
rnacentral:misc_RNA from 1 species